AUGAAAUGGUUAAACGAAAAGGGUUCGCUGUGGGUCAGAAUUUUGGAGGCUAAGUAUGGGGGUUGUGGUCAAGAAGCGGGCAUGGUAGAAAGAUUUAAGUCGUUAUGGUGGAGAGAUAUCCAAGCUGUUGAUAAUGGGGAGGGAGGUUUCAAAGGACAAUGGUUUAAGGAAAAUAUUGUUAGAGAAAUUGGAGAUGGAGUUCAAACGAGAUUUUGGGGCGAUCCUUGGGUCAAAGGGAGAAGUAUGAAGAAAGUAUAUCCGGGGCUGUAUAGGCUAGCGAUAAACAAAGAAGUUUCUGUUAAGGAUUCGUUUAGAAGGGAGAGAGAGGAGCUGGCGUGGAUAGAUAGAUGA